GUGGUGACCUGCGGAGGGAUCAUUA
rnacentral:rRNA from 2 species